rnacentral:rRNA from 1 species
AGGGUUCGAUUCUGGCUCAGGAUGAACGCUAGCUACAGGCGUUAACACAUGCAAGCGAGGGGCAGCAUGGAGGUUGCUUGCAAUCUCCGAUGGCGACCGGCGCACGGGUGCGUAACGCGUAUCCAACCUACCCACGUCUCAGGGAUAGCCUUGCGAAAGUAAGAUUAAUACCUGAUGGCCUUGCGUGGCGGCAUCGCCGCGCAAGUAAAGAUUCAUCGGUGGUGGAUGGGGGAUGCGUCCGAUUAGCUGGACGGCGGGGUAACGGCCACCGUGGCGACGAUCGGUAGGGGUUCUGAGAGGAAGGUCCCCCACACUGGAACUGAGACACGGUCCAGACUCCUACGGGAGGCAGCAGUGAGGAAUAUUGGUCAAUGGGCGAGAGCCUGAAACCCAGCCAAGUAGCGUGAGGGACGACGGCCCUACGGGUUGUAAACCUCUUUUAUACGGGAAUAAAGUGCCCCACGUGUGGGGUUUUGUAUGUACCGUACGAAUAAGCAUCGGCUAAUUCCGUGCCAGCCGCCGC